GGCGAACGCUGGCGGCGUGCUUAACACAUGCAAGUCGAACGGAAAGGCCCUGCGUUUGUGGGGUGCUCGAGUGGCGAACGGGUGAGUAACACGUGAGUAUCCUGCCCUUGACUUUGGGAUAACUUCACGAAACUGGGGCUAAUAUAGGAUAGGAGCUCCUGCUGCAUGGUGGGGGUUGGAAAGUUUCGGCGGUUGGGGCUGUACUCGCGGCUUAUCAGCUUGAUGGUGGGGUAGUGGCUUACAAAGGCUACGACGGGUAGCCGGCCUGAGAGGGUUGCCGGCCACAUUGGGACUGAGAUACGGCGCAGACUGCUACGGUAGGCAGCAGGGGGGAAUAUUGCACAAUGGGCGGAAGCCUGAUGCGGCAGCGCCGCGUGCGGGAUGACGGCCUUCGGGUUGUGAACCGCUUUCGCCUGUGACGAGGCGGGAGUGACGGUAAUGGGUCAAGAAGCACCGGCUAACUACGUG
rnacentral:rRNA from 1 species